ensembl:misc_RNA Metazoa_SRP Metazoan signal recognition particle RNA
GCCAGGUGUGGUGGUGCACUCCUGUAAUCCCAGCUACUUCGGAGGCUGAGGCAUGACAAUCACUUGAGCCCAGGAGGGCAGAGGUUGCAGUGAGCCAAGGCUGCAUCACUGCACUUCAGCCUGGGCAACAAAGUGAGACCUUGUCUCAA